UCAAAACAAUGCCUUACUCCCUUUAUCUAUUUGCAGACAUAACCUUACUCCUUUAAAAAAAAAAAACCUUAAUUCUGUUGCUCUGCCGAUAAAUUGCACAGCGGAAGAAGAGAGUGAGACGGGGCUAAUACUUUGUCAAUGGUAGCCGCUAAUCCUUUACCUUGACGCGCUCUCUGUCCAAUUACAGCGCCUACCGCAGCCCGCAGCAUUGUUCUGAUAUUAUACAGUCACUUAUUCCGACCAAUUUGAGUUUACUUACAGACUUGGGCAUGCACGGCAUCCAAUUAUCCAAAUGCUCUCAACACAAGCUGCCUGGUGUGGAUCUUGUCAUUUCUUAUUACAAAUAAUCAGGUCAAGGCUAUCUCAGUUUCCUGCUAUAUAUGAAUUAUGAAUCUGCUCAUUUAGAAGAAGCAAAGAGAGUAUGCUUGCAUAGAGUCGCACAGUAUAAUCACCUGGAUUUUGUCAUCUAUAUGUGUUCUUCAUUCUUAGUUUAACUACUGUAUAUAAUUAUAACCUGACGUUGCAUGUGUAGCCAGACACACACAUGUUAGUUCUAUUAGCAUAUAAAUCUCGUAUGGUCUUCUGUUCGGAAAUUCUGGAGUUACACUUUUUUAUGGUGGUACUUAACUUUGUAUGGGUGGAAGCAUAGAUAUUAAAGGGGCGCCUCAGGAUUUAUUAAAGUUAUCGGGGCUUUACAAGGCAUGCUCUGCAGAUUAUAUUAAUUUAAAAAUAUAGUUAUCAGGUUUUGUAUGUUCUCUUGUGAUGCUUAACAUGGUUUUCAGGCUGUUGGUAAAGCUCUAUUUCGGGCACAUGUAGAUAGCCAGCUUAAUGUAACUUCAUCCUUCGGAGUCUUACUUUGUUGAUGGUUUUGGGAUGCAACAAUGUGCUUUUCUGUCUCUAAAACAGAGUGAGAUUAAUGUCAAAGCCUGAACUGUUUGUGGUGCCAGAUCCAGAACUGCCUUUAGCACUUUUAGAUCAAAAGGAGUUAGAGCUCUGCAUUUGCAAUGUUGUCUAAUAUUCAAUUUUGUUUGUCAUCUGGCUGUGAUUUUUUUUUUUUUUUUGUGGCAGGCUGGUAAAAAGCUUCUCCUCGUUACAAACUCUGAUUAUCAUUACACAAACAAAAUUAUGAAGCAUUCAUUUAACGAAAAUGGUUAGCGGAAAUCAUUUGUCUGUUUGACUGCAUCCCAGUCUGCUGAAUGUUCUGUUUGUGGCUUCAUUAAUUGAUCACAUGAAAGAGAAUAAGCUUACUCAAAGCUUUCAUCCUGAAAACAUAUUCAAAUUCACGUUGUCAUUUUUCUCCAUUUAGUCGUAGCCUCAUGUUGGUCUGACUUGUGCUAUAAAUUACUUCACAUUUUAAUGGCAUGAAGAACAAUGGAAUUUAAGACAAUACCUCUGUGUUCUGAUAUAUCGUUGUCCUCGACUUAUAUAGGUGAUAGUAUCAGCUAUGAAGUCAGAGUUCUUUCAAAUGUCACACCCACUUUAUGAGGUGGUGAAGGGUGAGGGCUUAAUGCGCCCGUUCCCAAAGCUCGUACAGGUGAUUAAGUUUUGUAUCUAUACUUGUUUUUGUUCCUCUUCUAGUUCAGAGUUCUAUGCUUUUUGUUGGCAUGGUUCAACAGGCUGUUUCAAAGUAAAAAAGAAAGGCCAAGAGUCCAUUACUCAAGUGGGGUCUCAAGGAACUAGGAUCCUGGAGAAGAUAGAAACAAACUUAUCCUUAAUUAAAUUUGCAUGAAAUCAUGCCUUUGAAGGUCUAUUACUUGCAGAUUCUUAAUUGCACUGCUGGGACAUUGACAUUACACUAGUUGGUGCCCAUUACUGGGAAAAUGUUGUAUGUCACUUUGUAUCAUUGCAGGAGGUUUGUACUCGGGUGGGAGUGCUUAUAUGAUUGAGAACUCCUUAAACAUCCAUGGAGAUGAAAUUCUAUAUGUAGCUGAUCAUAUUUAUACUGAUUUAAGUCAAUCAAAAGUCCAUUUACGAUGGCGAACUGCAUUGAUUUGUCGAGAAUUGGAAGAGGAGACGAGGAGAUUGAUUCACGCUUUACAUCUUUUGUAUCUUUGAUGGAGAUCUAUACAAAUGUCAAGUUGCAUGUAUUUGAGUUAGAAAUUUUUAAAGAGUCGCUCAAGAGAAAAUCUAAAAAGUAUACGGGGUUCGUGAGCUGCCCUGGUUGAGCUUAUUAAUCAAAAGGAGAUUGUAGGGGAUCUAUUUAACCAACUCCGGCUUGCUCUGCAAAGGAGAAUUAAAGAGCGCCCUGCUCAAACCCUUGCAACAACUAACAUGAAAGAUCAAGUACUCAUAGAAAGCGUGAAAAAGCUUUGAUUGUCAUGCAAAGACUGGAUAGCAAAAUUGCUCCCAUGCUAGAAGCGGACAGAGAACUUUUCAGUAAGAGGUCCAACCUAGAGAGCGCACUUAACUUGUGGCACUAGCUGCUUAUUUAAGAUAAGAUGGCUAAAUAUUUGAUAUGAUCUCUGGAUGAUUCUACAGUGGCCUAAACAGAGUGGAUGUCUGUGAGAUAAAAGCCAUUUGAUGAGGCAAAUUGAGAAGUAUGCGCUUUUGGUUCUUCCUUGAUUGAAUGUUGAAUAUAGGGAAGUAUUGAUUGGCUGGAUUGUGCUAAUUGCGAUGCUGUGAAAUUGCAGGUAUGCGGAUAGUCAACAUAAUUCUAUAAUUAUUAAACUUAUAUAUUGCAA